rnacentral:lncRNA from 1 species
GGAUAAAACCGAUAUCUUCCACGAAACAAAAGCAAAUUAAAAACCCCAUGACAUCCCUAAGAAUGUGACACCUACCGGCUUCAGAACUAAACCACUAAAUAGACCCCCAAACACACAAGCAACAUAAAAAUUCCCCACAAAACUAUGUAACACUCAAUUGACUUUUAACCUACACAAUCAUGAACAGGCGAAGUGCAAAUGUAACCAAAGAUCCACAUUAAUACCCUAGACAUAAAAUAAAAAGCAACUUUAUUUCAUUAGAAGCCACAAUCCUACGAUGCAAGUAUCUAAAACAAAAAACAAGAUAAAACCCAGGUCAUUUUGUAACAUAAGUCACCCGAAACUGAGCCUCCCAUAAAAAAAUUUUUACAACACACCACCAUCAUAAUCAAUCAGUAGAAUCCAAAAUUAGGUCAAAACAUCACCCAGAUCACCCAUGCCCCGUAAAUCCCUAAAACUGAGAACCCACAACUAAGUUCUAGUAAAUAUCGAUUCAAGCAAAGAAACCAAUUUCAAAUUACGAGGAAAAGCCGACCCAGAUCAA